rnacentral:lncRNA from 1 species
CUGGCGGCGGUAUUAGUCAUUUUGAGGUAAACUUUGGUUUGCUUCGCUGAAAUCGUCCACAAGUGUUUCACUUUCUUUAGGGCGCCCCGUUGGGAGAGUCACCUAGCACACGCACGCACCACAUCAAAGAGUUGGCCAAAUUUCAGUGACAAAUCUUCACGUUUACUCAACACUUCGUCACUCUUCUUCGAGCCGAGACGUAUCGUGGGGGUUGAAACUUUUUCAGUAGAAUCGAUUUUGGUUUUCUUUUUUGUUAGCCCAAUUCUAUCUUGGCCUUAGCAACACUAGCUCUCUCUUACCACCUUUCGAUCGCCAGCCAUCUUUUUUCAAAAGUAACUUGGAACCAUUCGUUUCAUCGCAUAUCUUCUCAUCUCGCCCUUUAAAUCGUGAUUAAUUGCUGCUGAAAAACAAAUCGAAAGAAAUCUUUUAAAAUCUACCUGCUCUAAUCAAAAAGUUUUUAUGUCGACAGUGUGAAAUCUCAAAAGUGAAACAAGGAUAGAGACGAUGGAACACGUAAUGGAUUUAGCUUCGGAAAUUUCGGAAAGUUCUUCGUUGGUGUCGGAGGAUAUGCGAACUCUAGACGGUAGCGUCGACGGUGAACCCCGCGCCGAUGGACUGUACGAAGAACGCUUUCGUGUUGAUCGACGCAAAUUGGAAUCAAUGCUUUUAGUACCUGCUGAGGGUGGAAGUGAAGCAGCUGCUGAACGUUUUUCCUCAGGGUUAUGCAAGAAACAAGCACUGUAAUUAUGUGGCCAGAGGAAAUUGAAAGUUGGUUCCAAAUCAAAACGAGAUCCGCAUGUGCGUGUGGCUGGAGAGCCUGAAUCAGUUCGCGCUGCUAAAGAACGCAUUAUGGCCGUGCUUGAUACAAGGCAAAGCAAUGGAGUGACUCUAAAAAUGGAAGUGAGCUAUACUGACCAUUCUCAUAUUAUUGGACGUGGAGGUAACACCCUUAGCCGCGUCAUGGAGGAGACACGUUGUCAUGUCCAUUUCCUGAUUCGAAUCGCACCAAUCAAACGGAAAAGAGCAACUUGGUUACUGUCGCUGGAGAACUGGCUGGCGUUGAGAAAGCUAGGGCUCGCGUCCGGGAUUUGAUGCCGUUGGUGGUGAUGUUCGAAUUUACCCAUCACAGGUUGCUUUCAGGCUUUUCCUGAUGUGGAAUCGCCAUUUAUCCAAAACUUACAGUCGCGUUACUGUGUACAAGUUUCCUUUCGUGCC